UACAGAGGGGGCAAGCGUUGUUCGGAUUUACUGGGCGUAAAGGGCGCGUAGGCGGUCAGCACAAGUCAGUUGUGAAAUCUCCGGGCUUAACUCGGAAAGGUCAACUGAUACUGUGCGACUAGAGUGCGGAAGGGGCAACUGGAAUUCUCGGUGUAGCGGUGAAAUGCGUAGAUAUCGAGAGGAACACCUGCGGCGAAGGCGGGUUGCUGGGCCGACACUGACGCUGAUGCGCGAAAGCGUGGGGAGCGAACAGG
rnacentral:rRNA from 1 species